UACGUAGGGUGCAAGCGUUGUCCGGAAUUAUUGGGCGUAAAGAGCUCGUAGGCGGUUUGUCGCGUCGGCUGUGAAAUCCCGAGGCUCAACCUCGGGCCUGCAGUCGAUACGGGCAAACUAGAGUGUGGUAGGGGAGACUGGAAUUCCUGGUGUAGCGGUGAAAUGCGCAGAUAUCAGGAGGAACACCAAUAGCGAAGGCAGCUCGCUGGGACGUUACUGACACUGAGGCGCGAAAGCGUGGGGAGCGAACAGG
rnacentral:rRNA from 1 species